AGGCGUGCGUGGCAGCGGCGCUGGAGGCCCGUUGUUGCUGCUAGGGUUUCUGGUCAUGUUGGGCUGCGUUGGGCCGUGAUAGUGUCUGGGCUAGAUGUAGUUGGGCUAGGUUGGGCUUGGGGUAGUGUCUGGGCUGUUUUAUUUGUAAAUAGACUUUUAAUAUUUUUUGUUUUUAUUUUUAUUUAUAAAAUUGGGCCGGGAAAAUUAGGUAUUACAAUAAUGUUCGUAUAAGAGUUUAUAAUGUUUUAUUUUGUUAGAGUUUAAUGUUGUACAAAAUUUUAUCUUUAAUUUUUAAAAAUUAAGUGUAGCCUUUAAUCUUA
rnacentral:lncRNA from 1 species